AAUAGAUAUAACACUAAACUAUAAAAUAUAAAUUAUCGAUAUGUUAAAUCCACUACAAUAAAAACGGUCUAUAGCGACACUUUUAAAUAUAGGUAGAUGUCAAAAAAGUGCUGCUAGCUAAAAUUACCAACACUUUUAAAAAGUGUUGCUAUAUGUGAGGUCGCUAGGUAUAUAGUGACAGUUAAAGAGUGUCGCUAUAACCUAAAAUAGUGCUACUAAUUUACCAACACUUAUUUAAGCAUUUAGCAACCGUCGAAACUCUAUCUCGUUGGCUGCGGUGGCGAAGGAGGACGACAGGAAAAGCUCUUCGUCUAGAAUUUCAAUGGAUUGAGUAAAGAGAGAAGAAAAGAUGAUAAUUGAUUUUUUUUUUUUUCUAUUUGUAAUCGGGCCAAAUAGACUAGGUAUGGUGGGUUGAGUAGAGUAAUCUUUUAUUUUUGGUUGGAUUGGGUUUUAUAUUUAGGCAUUAGUAGAUGUUUUUUUAAGUUUUAGCAUAAAUGAAACACUUACUUAAAAGUGUUCCAAACAUGUGUCCCUAUAAUCUAAUUCUGUUGUAGAUAUCGUAGGAAGAGACAUUUUUAAGUUUUUUUUUUUAUUUUGUAUCGAAGUGGACAAUUUAUGUAGGUUGUAAU
rnacentral:lncRNA from 1 species